AGAGUUUGAUCAUGGCUCAGAACGAACGCUGGCGGCGUGCCUAACACAUGCAAGUCGAACGCGAAAGGGAGCAAUCCCCUGUAGCGUGGCAGACGGGUGAGUAACACGUGGGUAACCUACCCGGAGGUGGGGGAUAACCCUUCGAAAAGGAGGGCUAAUACCGCAUGACACCGUGGAGACCUCGGUCUUUACGAUCAAAGCUGGCCUCUGUUUACAAGCUAGCGCCACCGGAUGGGCCCGCGCCCCAUUAGCUAGUUGGUGAGGUAACGGCUCACCAAGGCGACGAUGGGUAGCCGGCCUGAGAGGGCGAUCGGCCACACUGGAACUGCGACACGGUCCAGACUCCUACGGGAGGCAGCAGUGAGGAAUAUUGCGCAAUGGGCGAAAGCCUGACGCAGCGACGCCGCGUGGAGGAUGAAGGUCUUCGGAUUGUAAACUCCUGUCGAGUGGGACGAAUGCCGUGAGGGUGAACAAUCCUUACGGUUGACGGUACCGCUGGAGGAAGCCCCGGCUAACUCCGUGCCAGCAGCCGCGGUAAUACGGAGGGGGCUAGCGUUGUUCGGAAUCAUUGGGCGUAAAGGGCGCGUAGGCGGCCGAUCAAGUCGGAGGUGAAAUCCCUCGGCUCAACUGAGGAAUUGCCUUCGAUACUGUUCGGCUUGAGUCCUGGAGAGGGUAGCGGAAUUCCCGGUGUAGCGGUGAAAUGCGUAGAGACCGGGAAGAACACCAGUGGCGAAGGCGGCUACCUGGACAGGUACUGACGCUGAAGCGCGAAAGCUAGGGGAGCAAACAGGAUUAGAAACCCUAGUAGUCC
rnacentral:rRNA from 1 species